GCACGUGCUCUUUAUUAAGCUCUGCAGACGUAGAUACGGAUUAUUCCCGUUUCACAGACGAGGAAACUGAGACUCAGGCCACACAGGCGAAGCGGAAAAUCCGGCAGGUCCCUGCUCCGGCCCCGCAUCAUCUGGGCAGAAGGUAAGGCGCUGCAUUUAAGAGCAAAGCAAAUUUGGUUGCAGAGGAGAUGAGAUGUCUUUGUCAAGGCCUAUGAAAUUCAACUUCAGCCUCCCACACGGAGUCCUCUGGAAGUGGUGACAGCACAGACAGUAGGAAGGCAGGAGGUCCCUUCCCCCUUCUCCCCCCUAGGGCCUGGAGGAAGGGGUCACACACUUGCACAAAGAGCAACAGAGGCCCUGCAGAGGCAGCAGGAACGCAGGAGCAGGAAAUAUUUCCUGAGACUCCCUUCGCGCCAGUCAUUUCUCAGACAUCAUCUCAUUGUGUCACAUCACCACCCAUUUUAUAGAUGGGAAAACUGAGGCUUGGGGCCGCCCAAGGGCACACCAGAGAUAACAAAGCCAAGCUAUUGCAUUUUAUUCCAAAGCCGUUUCCACUCCAGAGCUAGGGCGUCAGUACUGGUCUCCCCUCUUGUCUGAAAAUGGGUGACCUCAGGAGCAGCACUGCAAGAGCUGAUCUAGGACCUGUCACAGCGACGGAGCGGUGGCUGCAGUGAUACCCCACGCCAUAGCAAAGCCAGCAUCUCCUCCACCAGCGGGGAGAAGGGACCCAUGGAGCCAGUGCGUGACUGAGUCAGGGACGGCAAUCCCAGAGCCGGACAUCCAACUCGGUGUCAUGGCCAGACUCCAUCCUGGAGCCUCUGUGACACGGACUCCCUGCCUUGCUCUGCUACCAGUCUGUGUGGAUGGGUUCUGGCCAGAAGUACCAUGUCCAGACACAGAUGCUGACCUUGUGUCCACCACAUCUGAGGCUGGGAUCGGAGCUCUGUGACCUUGGGCAAGUUACUUAACCUCUCUGAACCUCUGUCGAAUGGCAAUAGUGCCUGCCUCAAAGGAUUAUUGAAAGUAGUAAAUGAGAAGCAUUCAGUGUUGAUAUUAGGUGGUAAGAGUGGCAUUGUUGUCACUGUCACUGAUUCCAGCGCAAGCAUGCUCCCAGCAUCCACAGCCCGCCAGUUCCCAGUGCAUUCACUCAUUCCACACAUGUGCUUUGAGCACCGACUAGGUCACACGUGCAUCCUACUAUGACCAGACUGUGUGCCGGGGACAAGUGGUGAACAAGCCAGAGGCCGUGCCCGACACGCUCCCCAUCCCGCCCUUCACUGCCCGCUCCAUCUCCUGCCUUUUCCUUGAUCUCAGCCCCCAUCCCAGCCUCUCAUGGCCACCUGCUGGCCUCAAGCCCAUCCCCCUCUCUGCCUGGCACCCUCCACCAGCUCCCCUUCUUUCCUCUGUUCUGGCCUCACCUCUUUUGCCCGUAUCCAUCAUACUCCA